rnacentral:misc_RNA from 1 species
AAGUCGUAACAAGGUUUCCGUAGGUGAACCUGCGGAAGGAUCAAUGCGAGUGCGAAACAGUGUGAGGUGUUGGAAUGUGUGAUGGACCAGAAAGGACUCUAUUCGUUUCAUGUUGUAUAUGACUUGCCACCCGGGAUCUCUGGGCUCUU